rnacentral:rRNA from 1 species
GAGCGGCUUAUCUCCUAUCAGCUUGUUGGUGAGGUAAUGGCCCACCAAGGCUAAGACGGGUAGCGGGACUGAGAGGUCGGCCCGCAACAUCGGGACUGAGACACUGCCCGGACCUCCACGGAGGGCUGCAGUAACGAAUCUUGCGCAAUGGGCGAAAGCCUGACGCAGCGACGCCGCGUGUGGGAUGAAGUUCUUCGGGAUGUAAACCACUGUCAGGGGGAAGAAAGAGCGCUUUCGGGUGCUUUGAUCUAACCCAAAGGAAGUCACGGCUAACUCUGUGCCAGCAGCCGCGGUAAGACAGAGGUGGCAAGCGUUAUUCGGUGUUACUGGGCUUAAAGCGUGUGUAGGCGGGCUUGUGUGUAUCGUGUGAAAUACCUCGGCUUAACCGAGGAAUUGCUCGAUAAACUGCAAGCCUUGAGGCAAGUAGGGGUGCGCGGAACUCUUGGUGGAGCGGUGGAAUGCGUAGAUAUCAAGAGGAACGCCGGUGGUGAAGACGGCGCACUAGGCUUGUUCUGACGCUGAGACACGAAAGCGUGGGGAGCAAACAGGAUUAGAU